rnacentral:lncRNA from 1 species
GGCGGGCGGGCCAUGGCUAGGGAGCAGUGCCGGCAUGACCUCUGGUGGCCCAGGACUGGGGAUAGGUGUGAACUCAUCCUCGAUACCUUCAGAAUUCUCAAGCAUCGCCAUUCCCGUGUAAGACUUUUGUGUUUGUGUGGGGAGAAGGCUCAACGCUGAAGAGCCUAGCGUUCCAGCUCCUUCCACAGAGCUGCCCUAGAUCACUAUUCUGAGGCACUCAAAACACUCUCUGCCCCGGGUCUGUUUUCUGUUUAAAUUUCAGACUCUAUAACUCUACACCCUGCUGGCUCCACAUCUAUCCAUGUCUUCAAUGUCCCCACCCUUCAGAUGCGCCUUGCAUGGGACUCACCUGGCUCUUGUGGAGAAGCCACGAUCCGGGAGACCGAGCUGAGCAAGCCGCUGCACAUUGGUGUGGUGAGGAUGCUGUGCCUAGCUCUCUUGCAUCGGUUCCUUAGGAUGGACACUUCCUGCCCCCAAGCCUGAGGCCCCUUUGGCUGGUAACCUGCAGGGACACACUGCCAGGGCUUAGGAAUGAAGCAGAGGUCACACUGUCUGUGACAAAGGGCGUACCAGCUUUUGGAACUGUUCACGUGGACAGACACCUGGAUAAAAGUAUAACCAACAAGGCCCCGCUGUGGGAUAGGACUGUUAUCCUCAGGCCUGUAACCAUCCAUCCGGACCUCAGUUCUCUGGAUCCUCUGCUUGGGAGGUCUCCUUCCCCCAAAAGGGACAUCGUGGCCCAGCUUGGCAGGGAGCUGGGAAGCCAAUGCUGACGAGAGGUGACCCCACCUUGAACUCUGCUGGCAAGGAAGUGCGGUCCAUAAGGAGAACAGGAGUCUGGGCUUCUUCACUCUCUUGGCCGUGGCUGUGACUGGUGGAGAGAAGAUUCCUUCAGAAGUCAGACAUCUAAAUAGCGGGUCUGGUGCCAUAAUUAUGCAUUAAUCUUUAAACCCCACUCACUGGCUUUGAGAGUGUUUUUCUUUUUUUCUCCAAGCAUUUUGUCUGCAUUCAUUCCCCUCUGAUAAUAGGGAUUUGUUGUUGCAAAUUAAUAGAGAGGAGUGGUGUUAGUUUGUAAU